AGAGAGGCGCUAUGCCUCCCAGUCGGCGACACGAUACAGCGCUGCAGAACUGACCCCGACGCAGCCGCCAUAGCUGAUACCACUGCCAGUCAUGCGGCUCCGCCCCAGCGUUGCAGCGCGGGGCCGCGCACGCAAAUACGCAGGCACGGGCGGGGGCACGCCCGGGAGUGCGCAUGCGCACUGCGGCUGGCCCGCUCUCCGAGGAGCUUUCGAUACUUUGGGGUCAAGUUUGAGGCAGUUGUAAGUGUACUGAGUUUAGUUUUGCUAAUAAUGGUAUUCUACGUGUGUCAGCCUCGUAUGGACUUCUGUAAUGACUAAUGGAUAUGUUUAUGCCCUGAGCAUUUGCUCUAGGACUUUUAAAUGAAAUCCCCAAACUCAGGAUUACCUUAUUUGGAGAAAUUAUUAGUGUUAUUAUGUUUAAAAUGUAAUAGAUAGAGCGAUAUUUUACCUUUCACUUUGGGACUCGCACAGGAUGUUUGCAGCUUUUGAUACACACGAACGAGAACGUGUCUUUUAAGAGCAUGCGGUUUUAUAAUUAUGUGGAAGUAUGCUACGCAAGGGAAAAAAGGCUCUUGCUAAUGUUAAGAGUCUUUAUAAACACAAACUGCAAGGAACCUGGGAUCUGACAGCUGUGGGAGGAAUGCCUGUGAGGAAAAAGGAGGAACAGAAG